UUCUGUCUCUAGAACCUCCACACAUCUUUCCAGUUCUGUUUUGCCUGCCCCCAGAGAUGGCUCUUUGCUGGUGUCCUCAAGAGCACAGGCUCUGCUGCAGUCAACGUGUCUUCUGUACAUCCCCUAUCCUUUGGACCUCCCUCUGACCCCAACAGAAACCACUACCCUAACAGCUGCUGGUCAGGGUCAAGGAGAUGAAGGAGACAUCCAGCAUCAGUUCCAGCGUCCCUACAGACUCACCAGCCAACAGGGCUUCCAGGGCCAGAGCCAGCUAGUCAAGGGUGCCCUCCGGUGGUCACCAUAGGCGAGGCAGGAACCAGACCGGGCAAAAAGAGAGGUGUUUCAUUCAUUCCUUCAACGGACAUGGAGUGAGCAUCGGCGUGCCAGGCGUGUUUCAAUUUUAAUUAAAAACCUAUUGAUCG